rnacentral:rRNA from 1 species
GACGAACGCUGGCGGCGUGCUUAACACAUGCAAGUCGAACGGAAAGGCCCUGCUUUUGUGGGGUGCUCGAGUGGCGAACGGGUGAGUAACACGUGAGUAACCUGCCCUUGACUUUGGGAUAACUUCAGGACACUGGGGCUAAUACCGGAUAGGAGCUCCUGCUGCAUGGUGGGGGUUGGACAGUUUCGGCGGUUGGGGAUGGACUCGCGGCUUAUCAGCUUGUUGGUGGGGUAGUGGCUUACCAAGGCUUUGACGGGUAGCCGGCCUGAGAGGGUGACCGGCCACAUUGGGACUGAGAUACGGCCCAGACUCCUACGGGAGGCAGCAGUGGGGAAUAUUGCAUAAUGGGCGGAAGCCUGAUGCAGCAACGCCGCGUGCGGGAUGACGGCCUUCGGGUUGUAAACCGCUUUCGCCUGAGACGAAGCGUGAGUGACGGUAAUGGGUAAAGAAGCACCGGCUAACUACGUG